UACGAAGGGGGCUAGCGUUGCUCGGAAUCACUGGGCGUAAAGGGUGCGUAGGCGGACUCGUAAGUCAGGGGUGAAAGCCCGCGGCUCAACCGCGGAACUGCCUCUGAUACUGCGAGCCUUGAGUCCUGGAGGGGCUGGCGGAAUUCGUGGUGUAGCGGUGAAAUGCGUAGAUAUCACGAGGAACACCGGAGGUGUAGACGGCCAGCUGGACAGGUACUGACGCUGAGGCACGAAAGCGUGGGGAGCGAACAGG
rnacentral:rRNA from 1 species